CUCUUCACGCACCUCACUUCCUUAUCUUUCUAUUUCUUCUUCUUUCUUCUUUCUUCUUCGCUUUCUUGCCCGGACACCGAGAGAGACAAAGAGAUUGAGAGGGAGAGAUAUGAGAGAGAUCGAGGGAUCGAGCGACUGAGAGGGAGUUGAGACCGAGAGUCAGAGAGAUGAGAUCAGAGAGUGAGAUCGAGGGAGAGAGAAGUAGAGAUCGGGUGAGAGAGAGAGAGACAGAAAGACCGAGAGUGAGAGAUGGAGGUCUGAUCCUACAUGAUCGGCGUCCAGAACCAGAAUCUGGCGAUUGAGGAGCUCCAGCGAAACCCAGGAGCUUGAACCCGCGACCCGCUGAACCCGAGAGGAGACCCGGUUCUCCAUGUGCGUUUUCCGGCGACCUUUCCAGCGGAAUCAGUGGCGAAUUUCGGUGGAUUUGCUAUGAAAAUCCUUUGGAUGAUGAACUGAGACUGCACAAAAGGGCUAUGUUUGCGCAGGUUCUGAAGAUUAUAGAAUGGAUUAACUGCUAGCUUAAGAGAUUUAAAGCUAUUGUAGUUAGGAUUUUAGUGCUUUGUACUUGUAAAUGUUUAUAUUAUUUUGUAUGUAACAUGUUUAGGAAUUUACUUGUAUUUAGUAAGUUUCCAUGUAUGCUUUCGUGUUAUAUGUGAUACAUGUUUCUUUGUAAUUAGUGUAAAGACUUUUAAUGUAUUUCUAGAGGAUGUAAGUUAAAUCUUUGAAUGUAUUGUAAGGAAAUUGCCCCUGAUGUUUGAAAA